rnacentral:rRNA from 1 species
GACGAACGCUGGCGGCGUGCUUAACACAUGCAAGUCGAACGGAAAGGCCCUGCUUGCUGGGUGUUCGAGUGGCGAACGGGUGAGUAACACGUGGGUGAUCCGCCCCCUACUUUGUGAUAAGCCUGGGAAAAUGGGUCUAAUACUGGAUAGGACAUUGCUGCAGGUGGUGUGGUGGUAAGAUUAUCUUCGGUAGGGGAGGAGCUCGCGGCGUAUUAGCUUGUUGGUGGGGUAAUGGCCUACCAACGCGUCGACGGAUAGCCGGCCUGAGAGGGUGGACGGCCACAUCGGGACUGCGAUGGGACGCAGCAGCCUGCGAGAGGCAGCAGUGGGGGAUAUUGUACUAUAGGCGCAAGCCGGAUGCAGCGACGCCGCGUGGGGGGUGACGGCCUUCUGGUGGUAAACACCUGUAAGCGAUGACGAAGCCGCUGUGGUGACGGUAGUGGGAGAAGAAGCACCGGCUAACUACGUG